rnacentral:lncRNA from 10 species
CCUCAACCUGGAGAAAAAAGUCUUCAUCCCGUGGAGCACCAUCCACCUCUUCUCCACCUGGACAGGCUGCUGGCUGCCGGAUCUUCUUCGGUUUGGUGGGGCUGCUCACCUUGGGGCCCUCAGGACAGGACACAGGGGCAGGCAGGGCUGUUGAGAGCUCUUCAGCCAGUUCCUGAAGAUACAGAAGUGCCCUGUGGGAACGGACAGAGUCAGAGCCAUUCUCACAUAUGACUGAGAACCCACGUUUCCAGACAUGGUUGAUUUUUAUCUCAAUGGAGCCUCCCAAUAACCCCAUGAUUAACCAAUUAACUCUAUUAAUUUCCCCUUCCCCCUUGGAAGAUGAAAAACCAGAAAUCUAAGUUAUGUGACUUGGCCGAGAUGACUGAGAUAACAAAUGUGGAAUCUGAACCCAGGUCUUCUCACUCCAAGUUCAAUACAUUUUUCAUCCUACCACAGUCAAAGAACACAGAGGGCAAGAGAAAGAAUGGAACAGAAUAUAUAUACUGACAUAUACUGGACAGUAAAACAAUAAAGAGCUGGGUAAAGUUUGUGAAAAAUGGCAUAGGACAUAAAGUACAGACAAUAAUUCUUAGAUAAACCAAGUUAGCAAUACAUACCAUUAAUAGUGCUGCGGUAAGAGCCUAAAGGACUGCUCAAGUCCCUAGAAUCCAGACACCACCCCUGCUUACCUAAUA